CUUGGGAGCAGGACAAAGACGACGAUCAGACGCACAGAGAAACGCUCACUCACGCUUUUGCCUUCCUUCCUUCCAUCUUUUGGUCAGCAUGAGGCGGGGCGUGGCCGCGGCGGUGCUGGUGCUGCUGGAGGGGAGUCUCCUCAGCCUCGUGAGCAGCCAGCGCUUGGCUCUCGGCCGAUGCCCUUCACCCCCCGCCGCAGACGACUUCGAUUUUGAAGACUACGCUGGGCUGUGGUACCAAGCACAGAGGUAUGACCACCCCCUGGAGCUGCGGACAUCUUGCGUGUCUGUGCGUUACAUUCAGAGGGGGAGGC